rnacentral:rRNA from 1 species
AGUGAACGCUGGCGGUAGGCCUAACACAUGCAAGUCGAACGGCAGCACAGUAAGAGCUUGCUCUUACGGGUGGCGAGUGGCGGACGGGUGAGGAAUACAUCGGAAUCUACUUUUUCGUGGGGGAUAACGUAGGGAAACUUACGCUAAUACCGCAUACGACCUACGGGUGAAAGCAGGGGAUCUUCGGACCUUGCGCGAUCGAAUGAGCCGAUGUCGGAUUAGCUAGUUGGCGGGGUAAAGGCCCACCAAGGCGACGAUCCGUAGCUGGUCUGAGAGGAUGAUCAGCCACACUGGAACUGAGACACGGUCCAGACUCCUACGGGAGGCAGCAGUGGGGAAUAUUGGAUAAUGGGCGCAAGCCUGAUCCAGCCAUACCGCGUGGGUGAAGAAGGCCUUCGGGUUGUAAAGCCCUUUUGUUGGGAAAGAAAAGCAGCAGGUUAAUACCCCGCUGUUCUGACGGUACCCAAAGAAUAAGCACCGGCUAACUUCGUG